UGGGAGAGGUAAUGGCCUCCCACCAGGCCAAUGUAUUCGUUCGCCGAACUGGAGAGGUUUAUUCGGCCCACUUGGGGAUUGAGACCCGGCCCCAAAUCUCUUAGGGAGGGCAGCCAGUAGGGAAUUUUUCCCACAAUGGACCGCAAGUUCUGAUGGAGCAACGCCCGCGUGAGUGAAGAAGGCUUUCGGGUCGUAAAACUCUGUUGUUGAAGAAGAACACGUUUGAGAGUAACUGUUCAGACGUUGACGGUAUUCAACCAGAAAGCCACGGCUAACUACGUGCCAGCAGCCGCGGUAAUACGUAGGUGGCAAGCGUUAUCCGGAUUUAUUGGGCGUAAAGCGAGCGCAGGCGGUUUUUUAAGUCUGAUGUGAAAGCCCUCGGCUUAACCGAGGAAGUGCAUCGGAAACUGGGAAACUUGAAUGCUGAAGAGGACAGUGGAACUCCAUGUGUAGCGGUGAAAUGCGUAGAUAUAUGGAAGAACACCAGUGGCGAAGGCGGCUGUCUGGUCAGUUAUUGACGCUGAGGCUCGAAAGCAUGGGUAGCGAACAGGAUUAGAUACCCUGGUAGUCCAUGCCGUAAACGAUGAAUACUAGGUGUUGGAGGGUUUCCGCCCUUCAGUGCCGCAGCUAACGCAUUAAGUAUUCCGCCUGGGGAGUACGACCGCAAGGUUGAAACUCAAAGGAAUUGACGGGGGCCCGCACAAGCGGUGGAGCAUGUGGUUUAAUUCGAAGCAACGCGAAGAACCUUACCAGGUCUUGACAUCUUCUGCUAUUUCUAGAGAUAGAAAGUUCCCUUCGGGGACGGAAUGACAGGUGGUGCAUGGUUGUCGUCAGCUCGUGUCGUGAGAUGUUGGGUUAAGUCCCGCAACGAGCGCAACCCUUAUGACUAGUUGCCAGCAUUAAGUUGGGCACUCUAGUAAGACUGCCGGUGACAAACCGGAGGAAGGUGGGGACGACGUCAAAUCAUCAUGCCCCUUAUGACCUGGGCUACACACGUGCUACAAUGGUUGGUACAACGAGUUGCGAACUCGCGAGGGUAAGCUAAUCUCUUAAAGCCAAUCUCAGUUCGGACUGUAGGCUGCAACUCGCCUACACGAAGUCGGAAUCGCUAGUAAUCGCGGAUCAGCAUGCCGCGGUGAAUACGUUCCCGGGCCUUGUACACACCGCCCGUCACACCAUGAGAGUUUGUAACACCCAAAGCCGGUGGGGCAACCCUUCGGGGAGCUAGCCGUCUAAGUGACAGAGAUUGG
rnacentral:rRNA from 1 species